rnacentral:rRNA from 1 species
UACGGAGGAUCCGAGCGUUAUCCGGAUUUAUUGGGUUUAAAGGGUGCGCAGGCUGACCGAUAAGUCAGGGGUGAAAAAUUUCAGCUUAACUGGAAUCGUGCCUUUGAUACUGUCGGACUAGAGUGUAACUGACGUGACUGGAAUGUGCCGUGUAGCGGUGAAAUGCUUAGAUAUGUCACAGAACGCCGAUCGUGAAGACAGGUCACGAAGUUACUACUGACGCUCAUGCACGAAAGCGUGGGGAUCAAACAGG